rnacentral:rRNA from 1 species
ACGCUCGACACCUACGGUAGGCAGCAGUUGGGAAUAUUGGACAAUGGAGGAAACUCUGAUCCAGUGACGCCGCGUGAAGGAAGAAGGUCUUCGGAUUGUAAACUUAUUUUGUCAGGGAAGAAAAAAUGACUGUACCUGAAGAAAAAGCACCGGCUAACUACGUGUCAGCAGCCGCGGUAAUCUGAGCGGGCUGGCAAGGC